rnacentral:misc_RNA from 1 species
GAAAACUCGUCCUGUGGAAAAAACUUACCCUGUUCCUGUUGAUGAAGCACCAGUUGGAGUUGCAUUGCAAGGAGAUCUUCAUUCUCCACCCAAAAAAAAUGAGGGGAGGUACCAGGAACCUGAAAAGGUCUCUUCUUCUGUUGAUGCUGUGAAUUCAGUCCAGGUUCCUAAAUCUUCUGAAGAUGAUCAAUGUUCCACAUCUGAUGGUACGUUUGGUCCAGUCUAUGCUGAUUCUGCUUCCAAUCUGAUUGACUUGAGUUACCCUGAACCAUCAGUGCCUCCUCAGAGAGUUUAUUAUUCAGAAAGAAUACCGCGGGAGCAAGCAGAGUUGCUGAACAGGUUAUCAAAAUCUGAUGACUCACUUGGUUCUCAGUUGCUUACUUCAAUUGCAGAAACUGUUGAAAAGUUGCAUCAGAGUAAUUUUGCUCCCCAUACCGAGAACUCCACAUCAACUUCAAAACCAUCAUAUGCAGACACUCAAACCAUCAAUGAGGGACUUGCCCAACUUGAGAAGUACAAGGAGUUUGCUGAAGCAGUUUCUCAGACGAACAAAAGGCUUUCUGGUUCAGACAAUGUGCUGGACAGGGAAAGUGUUCUCAUGGGUGACUAUGAUACAGAUUAUACCACAGGUAAUAAUGUGAAAAACCUGAAUGAGGAAAUGGGAGAAGCUGGAUCUGGGCAUUCAGCUGUGCGCCAAGUAACUGCUGUCAUGCCUCAGAAGGAUCCUGCAUCUAAUCUUUCGGAGCCUAAACGGGUUGAGACAACUGGCAAGGACUUCACGAGUAAUAACAAUCUUGGACAUUCUCAGCCAUUUUCUGGGACAGAGAGCUCAACUAAAGAUGUUUCAAAACGAAUAACCCCUGUUGGUGUUCCAGUGGCAAAGCAGGUAGACAUCAGUAUAGAUAUUAAUGACAGAUUCCCUCGUGAUUUCAUUUCUGAAAUAUUCUCUGGUGGGAUAUCUACUGAGGAUACAUCUGUUGUUAACCCAAUUCACAAAGAUGGGGCUGGCGUGAGUGUGAACAUGGAAAAUCAUGAGCCCAAGCGC